rnacentral:rRNA from 1 species
GUGAGGAAUAUUGCGCAAUGGCCGAAAGGCUGACGCAGCGACGCCGCGUGGAGGAUGAAGUCCGAUAGGAUGUAAACUCCUUUUGUAGGGGAUGAACGCUUCGCUAUACGCGGAGGUGACCGUACCCUGCGAAUAAGGAUCGGCUAACUACGUGCCAGCAGCCGCGGUAAUACGUAGGAUCCGAGCGUUGUCCGGAAUUACUGGGUGUAAAGGGCGUGUAGGUGGGGCUUUUAGUCGGGGGUGAAAUCCUGCGGCUUAACCGCAGAACUGCUUCCGAUACUGGAGCUCUUGAGUACGGCAGAGGGAGAUGGAAUUCAUGGUGUAGCGGUGAAAUGUGUAGAUAUCAUGAAGAACACCGGUUGCGAAGGCGGUCUCCUGGUCCGUUACUGACACUGAGGCGCGAAAGCGUGGGGAGCAAACAGGAUUAGAAACCCUUGUAGUCC